rnacentral:sRNA from 1 species
UUGCAAUAAGGGUUGUAGUGGCAUCCUUUUUUGAGGCACGAGAAAAAGAUAUAACGGAAAGCGUGGUUGUUU